UUUCUAUGGGAUGUGAGUGGGCUCUUGGCUCACUUUAAAGGCAGGGUGACUUGCACCGUAACCGUUUGGUGGACAAUCGAGCGGGCUUUGGUGGCAAGCGAUGGCUGGCAAGCAGUUAUCAAUUCAA
rnacentral:misc_RNA from 1 species